rnacentral:tRNA from 1 species
AGUAAAUUGGCUGAGUUAAAGGUGAUAAAUUGUAAAUUUAUUUAUAAGAGUAAUCUUAUUUACUA